ensembl:lncRNA
AUGUUGCAGAGAGGGCUCCACGGAGGAGUCACCCCGCGGGGGGCGGGCGGCUCCGACCUCCGCUGCCCGCAGGCGGCUCCGUGUCCUCCGUGGGGGGAGGCGGCUCCGUGUGAGAGCCCAGCGGUGGCUGCUUCUCCUCUUCGCCGGGCUUCGUUCUCUCCUCUUCGGCUGCUGCCAUGUCGGGGCUUCAACGACACGUGUGUCCACAUUAGCAACACUUGUGUUACAGAUAUUUAUACCAAGUUAAAAAGGUUAAUGACGGCUGCGAGGCCUGUGUUUAAAGCUUUGCCUCCAACAGUCACGUUGGGGGCACAACUUCCCCGGUAUCGAGAAUCGCUGUCACACUCACCCUGUCACACUCACCCUGACGUUCAUGUCGCUGAAGUUAAAUCCCCUUUGAUUGAGUUAAAGCAGAGUUGAGGGACUUACUUGUCGCUGUGGUGUCUGGUUGAAGGGUUCAGCGGGUCCGGACAGCGGCGCAGGUGAAUUAACUUCCUUGUUCCGACCAACGUGCGUUGUUGGGCGCGUGCGCGGCGCAGCGCGACACUCGGGCCGUUUUACUGCUUUCUGUCGACGGUGCGCGAGCUGCACCGGCACCAGUCUGCGAAUCGGCUCGCUAACGUCCACGGCUGGUUCCGUACUGACUGGAGGGGGUUUGUGAAUGAAGCGAGUGGAGGUGGAGGUUUGGUCCACGGACACAGCGCAUUUCACUGCGUCUGUUCCUCCACCUGCCUGACCAGAUCUACCUGUUAGGAGGCAACGUACCCACGACACACCCUGCUGUCAAUAAGUUAAUAUGUCCUCGUUCGAUUUCAUAGUUUUUUUUUCAUCAAAAAAGUAGGUAGUCAGAGAUGUCCACGUCACCAGUCUGCUUGAGGGUUAAAUGAGGUGUUUUAUAAGUUACAUUCCAGCCAACGGCUUAUGAUUACCUGCCUGAAGGGAGCUUCCUUCCAUGAAUACUGAAUUAAAUGACGAAAAUAGCCAUUAUCCUUUUCAUAAAUAGAAAAUAUUUUGAUCUUCUUACCAAAUCAGACAGAAGUUAGCAUCUGACUAUAGUGUAAAAAGUCAACAAGCCAGCCAAACCCAUAGCAACAGAGCUUUAACCGGAUGCUCUUAUUGUCCUAGUUAUGUCACCGUGUGGGUUUCUUUCCUGUUUUAUUUUGUAGUUUCCUGCCUCU